GUAUAUUUUUAUAUGUACAAGUUUAGGUGUAAAAAUACACAUUUUGCUAACCACCCUGUUUUCCAGAUCUGUCUACAUGGAAAACAAGACAGUUUGUUUCUUUAACACCACUACUAGUCUAGGGUACAUUGAUUAAAAUAUUAAUCAUUGGCUAUUUGAUGUCAACAUUCAAGGUAAUUAUAACAAACUGCUAAAUACUGUAGGCCUAUAGAGGAAAAUAUAUCGUAUUAUCGUAACUCCAGUCAUCAUACAUUGUAGGUUUAUUUUCCCAAAACAACGUGCGAUCUCAACAAAAACAUCAAGGAUUUCUCGAUACUACAUGCACAGACUACUACAAGUCAUCGCGUUUUUUUCCCGCAUGCAAAGAAAAAUCGUCAGCACAUUCUGGUCAUCAUAUUAUUGAAAUAUUUGUGACUGAAUCCCAUCUGAAUGUUGGAUGACAUAUCAAGAUGACACUGAACAGGACAUAACUGAG